rnacentral:rRNA from 1 species
UACGGAGAAGGCAAGCGUUAUCCGGAAUUAUUGGGCGUAAAGCGUCCGUAGAUGGUCGUUUCAAGUCUGCUGUCAAAGACCGGGGCUUAACCCCAGAAAGGCGGUGGAAACUGAACAGCUAGAGAGAGGUAGGGGUAGAGGGAAUUCCCAGUGUAGCGGUGAAAUGCGUAGAUAUUGGGAAGAACAUCAGUGGCGAAAGCGCUCUACUGGACCUUAUCUGACAUUGAGGGACGAAAGCUAGGGGAGCGAAUGGG